rnacentral:rRNA from 1 species
AUACGUAGGGUGCAAGCGUUAAUCGGAAUUACUGGGCGUAAAGCGUGCGCAGGCGGUUUUGUAAGACAGUGGUGAAAUCCCCGGGCUCAACCUGGGAACUGCCAUUGUGACUGCAAGGCUGGAGUGCGGCAGAGGGGGAUGGAAUUCCGCGUGUAGCAGUGAAAUGCGUAGAUAUGCGGAGGAACACCGAUGGCGAAGGCAAUCCCCUGGGCCUGCACUGACGCUCAUGCACGAAAGCGUGGGGAGCAAACAGGAUUAGAUACCCUGGUAGUCCACGCCCUAAACGAUGUCAACUGGUUGUUGGGUCUUCAUUGACUCAGUAACGAAGCUAACGCGUGAAGUUGACCGCCUGGGGAGUACGGCCGCAAGGUUGAAACUUAAAGGAAUUGACGGGG